rnacentral:rRNA from 4 species
UGGUGGGUAGUUUGACUGGGGCGGUCUCCUCCUAAAGAGUAACGGAGGAGCACGAAGGUUGGCUAAUCCUGGUCGGACAUCAGGAGGUUAGUGCAAUGGCAUAAGCCAGCUUGACUGCGAGCGUGACGGCGCGAGCAGGUGCGAAAGCAGGUCAUAGUGAUCCGGUGGUUCUGAAUGGAAGGGCCAUCGCUCAACGGAUAAAAGGUACUCCGGGGAUAACAGGCUGAUACCGCCCAAGAGUUCAUAUCGACGGCGGUGUUUGGCACCUCGAUGUCGGCUCAUCACAUCCUGGGGCUGAAGUAGGUCCCAAGGGUAUGGCUGUUCGCCAUUUAAAGUGGUACGCGAGCUGGGUUUAGAACGUCGUGAGACAGUUCGGUCCCUAUCUGCCGUGGGCGCUGGAGAACUGAGGGGGGCUGCUCCUAGUACGAGAGGACCGGAGUGGACGCAUCACUGGUGUUCGGGUUGUCAUGCCAAUGGCACUGCCCGGUAGCUAAAUGCGGAAGAGAUAAGUGCUGAAAGCAUCUAAGCACGAAACUUGCCCCGAGAUGAGUUCUCCCUGAGACUUAAAGUCUCCUGAAGGAACGUUGAAGACGACGACGUUGAUAGGCCGGGUGUGUAAGCGCAGCGAUGCGUUGAGCUAACCGGUACUAAUGAACCGUGAGGCUUAACCUU